rnacentral:rRNA from 1 species
UUGACAUAUACGAGAACGCUGCAGAAAUGUAGAACUCUUUGGACACUCGUAAACAGGUGGUGCAUGGUUGUCGUCAGCUCGUGUCGUGAGAUGUUGGGUUAAGUCCCGCAACGAGCGCAACCCUCGUUCUAUGUUGCCAGCACGUAAUGGUGGGAACUCAUGGGAUACUGCCGGGGUCAACUCGGAGGAAGGUGGGGAUGACGUCAAAUCAUCAUGCCCCUUAUGUCUUGGGCUUCACGCAUGCUACAAUGGCCGGUACAAAGGGCUGCAAUACCGUAAGGUGGAGCGAAUCCCAAAAAGCCGGUCCCAGUUCGGAUUGAGGUCUGCAACUCGACCUCAUGAAGUCGGAGUCGCUAGUAAUCGCGGAUCAGCAUGUCGCGGUGAAUACGUUCCCGGGUCUUGUACACACCGAAU